rnacentral:rRNA from 1 species
AGUGAACGCUGGCGGUAGGCCUAACACAUGCAAGUCGAACGGCAGCACAGUAAGAGCUUGCUCUUACGGGUGGCGAGUGGCGGACGGGUGAGGAAUACAUCGGAAUCUACUUUUUCGUGGGGGAUAACGUAGGGAAACUUACGCUAAUACCGCAUACGACCUACGGGUGAAAGCAGGGGAUCUUCGGACCUUGCGCGAUUGAAUGAGCCGAUGUCGGAUUAGCUAGUUGGCGGGGUAAAGGCCCACCAAGGCGACGAUCCGUAGCUGGUCUGAGAGGAUGAUCAGCCACACUGGAACUGGAACACGGUCCAGACUCCUACGGGAGGCAGCAGUGGGGAAUAUUGGACAAUGGGCGCAAGCCUGAUCCAACCAUACCGCGUGGGUGAAGAAGGCCUUCGGGUUGUAAAGCCCUUUUGUUGGGAAAGAAAAGCAGCAGGUUAAUACCCCGCUGUUCUGACGGUACCCAAAGAAUAAGCACCGGCUAACUUCGUG